UACGAAGGGGGCUAGCGUUGUUCGGAAUUACUGGGCGUAAAGCGCGCGCAGGCGGUCUUCCAAGUCAGUGGUGAAAGCCCGGAGCUCAACUCCGGAACUGCCAUUGAAACUGUUGGACUUGAGUACGAGAGAGGUGAGUGGAAUUCCCAGUGUAGAGGCGAAAUUCGUAGAUAUUGGGAAGAACACCGGUGGCGAAGGCGGCUCACUGGCUCGUAACUGACGCUCAGGCGCGACAGCGUGGGGAUCAAACAGG
rnacentral:rRNA from 1 species